CAAAUUCAUAAGUUAGAUUCGAAAUACUUGAUUAAAUUUUAAUUUUUAAUUUAAGUUUAAAUUAAAAUUUAAAAUUAUAUAUUUAAUUUUAAAAUUUUAACUCAUAUUUUAUUUAAACAAGUUAAAAAAUAAAUUUAAUCCGAAUAAAUAUCCAUUCCGUCCAGAUUCAACUUUCAAUCCGGCCUCCUAGGCCGGAUUGAAAAAAGAGGUGAUUGGGGGAUUCUUAUUCCACUGGGGAAUCGGAAUCAAAAUAGAACAACCGCAUACCAAACACCCACAAACAGAUUUAUCCAUUCCGAUUCCGAUUCCAGAGUGAAAAAGAAGCGAACCAAACACGCCCCUAGAGUUAAAAUCUGUUAAUUGGCUCUGUUAUCUCUGUAAAAUUACUAUUUUGCCCCUUCAAAUAUACCUUUCUACCAUCACUGAUUUUCUUAUUUGCCUUUAAAGUCAGGGGCACAAAAAGUAUUUUGACUUUUGAUUUUUUCCAAUAUACCCCUCUACCGUCACCAACAUUUUUAUUUGCCCUUAAAUUAAGGGCAAAAUUGGCAUUUAAUUUUUUUUUAACUGUGAUAGAUGUUUAACUCAUGUUUAACCCAAGUUAACUUAACAUGAGAUAACUGCGGGGGUAUUUUACAAUAACGAUAGAACAUAUGAGGGAUAUUUUAGAAAAAAAAAGAAGAGCAAAUCGAAUAUUUUCAAACAUAUAAGGGGUAUGUAGGCAAUUAUCCCUAUAUAUAUAGAGAGUUGAGCUAGAAUACUCUCAAAAGCAUCAAGAGGGUGGUGAUUUUGAGUUUUUAGCCUUUGGAUGAAGAGAUGUAGAGUUGGAAUGAUGGUGGUAGAUGGUGGUAGGUGGUUGUAGGUAGAAUAGUGUUUGAUGCAAAGGGUAUUAGUAAUCAAGGAGUAGAUCCAAGAGCUAGAAACCUAGAAGCACCAAAGGGUUGAUGCUGCUAAAAGUAUUCUAACUUAAUUAUGUGUGUGUGUAUGU
rnacentral:lncRNA from 1 species